UACGUAGGGGGCAAGCGUUGUCCGGAAUCAUUGGGCGUAAAGCGCGUGCAGGCGGUUCGGUAAGUCCGCUGUGAAAGUCCAGGGCUCAACCCUGGGAUGCCGGUGGAUACUGUCGGGCUAGAGUACGGAAGAGGCGAGUGGAAUUCCCGGUGUAGCGGUGAAAUGCGCAGAUAUCGGGAGGAACACUAAUUGCGAAGGCAGCUCGCUGGGACGUCACUGACGCUGAGACGCGAAAGCGUGGGGAGCGAACAGG
rnacentral:rRNA from 1 species